UACGUAGGUGGCAAGCGUUGUCCGGAUUUAUUGGGCGUAAAGGGCGCGCAGGCGGCUACGCACGUCCGUUGUGAAAUCGCUCGGCUCAACUGGGCGGGGUCAGCGGAUACGGCGUAGCUGGAGCAAGCUAGGGGGCAAUGGAAUUCCCGGUGUAGUGGUGGAAUGCGUAGAUAUCGGGAGGAACACCAGUGGCGAAGGCGGUUGCCUGGAGCUUUGCUGACGCUGAGGCGCGAAAGCGUGGGGAGCGAGCCGG
rnacentral:rRNA from 1 species